GCCUCUGUGGUUUAAUGGUAGUAGCACGCGUCGCCGGUAUGGAUGAAACGCGGGUUCGAUUCCCACCUGAGGCG